rnacentral:rRNA from 1 species
UAACACGUGAGUAAUCUGCCCUUCACUUCGGGAUAACCGCCGGAAACGGUGGCUAAUACCGAAUACGACGCGCUCUCGCAUGGGAUGCGCGUGGAGAGUUUUCUCGGUGAAGGAUGUGCUCGCGGCCUAUCAGCUUGUUGGUGAGGUAACGGCUCACCAAGGCUUCGACGGGUAGCCGGCCUGAGAGGGUGACCGGCCACACUGGGACUGAGACACGGCCCAG